AGCAGCCGCGGUAAUUCCAGCUCCAAUAGCGUAUAUUAAAGUUGUUGCAGUUAAAAAGCUCGUAGUUGAAUUUCGGGAUCAAUAUGUUGGUCGUGCCUCGGUACGUACUAGCUUAUUGGUUUCUCCUUUCUGAAGAACCAUGAUGUCAUUCAUUUGGUGUCGUGGGGAAUCAGGACUGUUACUUUGAAAAAUUAGAGUGUUUAAAGCAGGCUCACGCUUGAAUACAUUAGCAUGGAAUAAUGAAAUAGGACGUUUGAUUCUAUUUUGUUGGUUUCUAGGAUCGACGUAAUGAUUAAUAAGGAUAGUUGGGGGCAUUAGUAUUCAAUUGUCAGAGGUGAAAUUCUUGGAUUUUAUUGAAGACUAACUACUGCGAAAGCAUUUGCCAAGGAUGUUUUCAUUAAUCAAGAACGAAAGUUAGGGGAUCGAAGACGAUCAGAUACCGUCGUAGUCUU
rnacentral:rRNA from 1 species